AGGACAAGCAGAUAAUUUGAGGGCCAACGAUGGAACAGUUAGCCACCCAGUAGAGCUACUGAGUUCCAUCCUGGUACUGGGGAAUGUCUAUAGAGACUCCUGUGAUGUGAUCCAUCUUCAGAUCUUGCAGCCAUGACUACUAGCACCUGCUCCAGCCGCUACAUUCAGUCAUCCAGUGACCUCAGCAACUUUUCAGUUGAAGAUUCUGCAUCACCAGAUAACAGAACAAACUCAAGAGCUUAUCAACAUGUAUUUCUAAAUUAAUUUAUUUAAGCUGCAAGGUUUUAUUCUACCUAUUUUUCAUGAGCAUUCAGCUAUUAUUAAGCUAAGCAUUAAAGAAACUUGCAAAAAUGUAAAACAAUGCCACCCUUCUCACUAGCUUUUGUUUGUUUUGGAAAAUCUAGUUGUUAUUCACACAAUAUGCUAUAUAUGUUAACACAUAAUAGAUUUAUUGUUAUUUUUAAUGAAUUAAUAUUUCAAUUACCAGUUUUAAUUUCUAAUGGGGAAAAUAUCUAUAAAUAUGACCCACGUAAACAAAAACUCUGGUAUUCUUUGUAAUUUAGAGUAUAAAGGAAUCCUGAUACUAAAAACUUUAGAGUGUUUUUCUAAGCCAGUAUUAGUGUUUUUUUAAAUAUCUACAUUUUCUAAAACCUACAACCCCACUUAGAGUAAUCAACCAAAUUCGAGGGGCUAAGUCUUUCAGUAAUUAUUAGUUUUAUAUUUAUCUUGUAUUUACAACUUCUAUGGUCUGCUUUGUUCCCAGUAAGCACAAAACACCUGCUUAACAAAUAAAUUGCAUUAUUUAAUACUCUGAUCUCCAGGCUCAGUUAUACUAUUAGGAAGCAGUGUGUCCAGUAGACACAGCAACAUGUUCCUGAAAAUGCAGGAGAGUAAGGCCCAAUUUGACAUUAUGUUAUAUUUCACAGAAUUCUUUUAAAUAAUGAACAUGGCUCAUUCUUUUCAUUAAGAAAUUCCGUACUAUUAUUAGACAUAAGGUACUAUUGUUAGGCACUGGGGAGUCAGAAUUGAAUAUUAUUGAUACAGCUCCUGUAGUCUUUGGAGCUUUGGUUGUGUGGGAAGAUAGCCACUAAACAAUGAAUUGCACAAUUAAUCACUGAAUUAUAAUUUACAAUAAGAG
rnacentral:lncRNA from 10 species